AAUAAUGAACAUUCUUCCUCAAAAAAGUUGGCAUGUGCGAAGAAAAGAAAAUGUAGAAAAAGUUCGUCGCGAUGAGGCGGAAGCUGAAAAUAAGCGGCUUGAACAGGAACGCAGGCAUUCACAAGCGGAGAUAGAGGCACUUAGAUCAAGGCUAGGAGGAAGCAAACAGUCAACUGAAUCAAUUCAAGAAAAGCAUAUUAAUCUGUUUGUUGACCGGGACUUCGACUACAGUGAGAAGAACAAAGACACCCAUCGUGAAACUGAGCUGAAAAAAAGUUAGGAUACAGAGCAAUGGGCGAGGAAAGUGGGCAUCUCAGUCGGGCUAAACGACAAGUCAGAAGAAGCACAAAGUCAUUGGGUGUUUGGGAAGAGUGCAGGAAAAGACUCGAAGACGACCCUAGUCGAAGAUCUGGAGUUGCAAAAGAAACUGAAGAAAGAUCUGAAAAGAAAAAGUUGCGAAGACCCAAUGAAUUCAUUUUCUUCAAACUCUAAAAAGUAUAUCGAAGGUAGCGACAAAUCCGAUUAUAGUAAAUCAGAUAGUUAUUCUGCCGAUUUAGCUUACAAAGCACUUAAGUUCUCAAACGGCGAGCAAGAUGUGAAAGAAAAGAAACGUCAAAUAGAAAAGAAAAAGAAACACAAAUCAAAAAAGUAUUCGUCAUUCGAAUCGAGCUCAUCUUCUGAAGAAGAGAAAACGAAAAAGAAAACGAGUAUUGAACAGUUGCGGAAAGAGCGAUUAGCGAGAGAAGAAAGAGAAAGAAAAAGAGCCGAAGAGUUAAUUAAACAAAAAGCUGGGAUAAAAUAGUGCAGUGCUUCCUCUUUGCAAAUACGAGAGGCGUCUAAAGAAAUCAAAGACUGAACAUGCAGAUGUCUUGAAGUUGCUCGGUAUCGGAAAUAGGAAAAUGUUGAAAGUGGAAGUAUUUGGAAUGCUGGAAAGGAAAGUUUUGGCCGAACUUUUUAAAACCGAGUACUAAUCAAUUGGUGCUUGCCGAACUUUAAUAUUUUAUUUUAUAUUAAUUGAUAGUCUAAAUGCGCCUUGGACGUAACUUUUUAAACUUUUCUAUCGAGCACAACGUUUAAGAAGGCUUGGAUAAGAACAUUUAAGAAUCAUUCAGAGCUCAAUGUUUAAGUGGCGUUCAUGCAAAAACUUUCUAGAACUUUAAAUCAAUCUUGAGUCUGAAAUAUUCUAGAAAACUUUUGAAAAAGGCUUGAAACUCUUCAAACAAAAUGAACUCGACUCAAACUCAAGGCUAGACAGUACCUGCUCACUUUUUGUCCAAAGUUUUGCGUAUGUAGAUUCAUUUUAGUCUGAAAUGAAUCAACUAAAAACGGCAACCUCCAUGAUUAGAAAUAUGUUUUUGCACGAGAACUAAUCAUCCUACGAAAU